rnacentral:lncRNA from 1 species
UCCAAGCACAUCUUAAGUUGUAUCAGUCAUUAUAUUUUUUAUUUUUUUAUGUUUUUGCUUAUUGAGCUGUGUAUGUAGCUGAGUACACAGACACACACAUACACAGAGAAUGCCUUCACUAGGAGCUACAACAAUUGUAUGUUAACAAUAUUCCCAUUUGGAGAAACAAUUUCUUCUCUAAGAAUAAUAAACUUGUCUAGUCUACCAG